AUGCUUCAAAGAGUGUCUGGUCCAGGGAGUGUUAGUUGUCAUGAUUGCUGUUACUACAAGACAUUUUCACUUUUUUGUGCUAGUAUUAUGAUAUUACGAUAUUGUAUUGCUGAUAUUUACUUGGCACUUUUGCCAUUUUCUUUUUAUUUUUCUUUUGCUCUCUCUCUCUUUUUAACCUCCUACAAUGAAUCGCAGGGCCCUGCAUGGGCCAGUUCUACUAGGGUGUGGAUGUAGGAUGAGUGGAAGAGGUAAGGGAGAUGAGGGAUGAGUAAGGGAGGCCAGGGAUCCGACACGCGAGGGAAAACGAGAAAGAUAUCCCUUGGAGGUGCAGGGCCAACAAAGAGCCAGACGCAGGCGAACCCAAGCUGGAGCACCCGGGGAUCCGGAUCUGCAGCGGGGACUGGCCCCACCCGGGGUACUUCCCUCCCAG
rnacentral:lncRNA from 1 species